rnacentral:rRNA from 1 species
UACGAAGGGGGCUAGCGUUGCUCGGAAUCACUGGGCGUAAAGGGUGCGUUGGCGGGUCUUUAAGUCAGGGGUGAAAUCCUGGAGCUCAACUCCAGAACUGCCUUUGAUACUGAGGAUCUUGAGUACGGGAGAGGUGAGUGGAACUGCGAGUGUAGAGGUGAAAUUCGUAGAUAUUCGCAAGAACACCAGUGGCGAAGGCGGCUCACUGGCCCGUAACUGACGCUGAGGCACGAAAGCGUGGGGAGCAAACAGG